GAGAUUAGUGUGUGUAUAAGAGGUAAUGUUCCUCUCAUGUUCCCACCGAGUUGGCACUUUACCCUACCACUUGAAAAAUACACCAUGAAGUCUUAAAAUGUCAAGAUUAUUUCAGCAAUCUUCCCCUUGAUGGUCCCAUUAAUUGUGUUUUAUGUUUUGGACCCUUUAAUAAUAUUGUACCGAGUUACCACUUUUGUGCGCUUUACAAGG
rnacentral:lncRNA from 1 species